rnacentral:rRNA from 1 species
AUGCUUAAACACAAGUCUGAUGUUGAGCAAGUCUUUUAUAAUUUUCAGGCUCAUGUCGAACGCCUUUUGGAUUGCAAAAUCAAGGCCGUUCAGUCUGACUGGGGUGGUGAAUACCACAAGCUUCAUCGCUACUUUCAACGCACGGGCAUCUCCCACCGUGUGUCGUGUCCACAUACGUCUCAGCAGAACGGUAUUGCCGAGCGCAAACACCGUCACUUGGUCGAGACCGGCCUUGCCUUACUGGCGCAUUCGUCUCUCCCACUCCGGUUUUGGGAUGAGGCCUUUUUUACGGCAUGUUAUCUCAUCAAC